rnacentral:rRNA from 1 species
UACAGAGGAGCCAAGCGUUGUCCGGAUUGACUGGGCGUAAAGCGCACGCAGGCGGCACCGCGCGUGGGGUGUGAAAUCUGGCCGCUUAACGGCCAGGCGCCAUCCCAUACGGCGGAGCUGGAGUGAUGCAGAGGUCGAUGGAAUUGCCGGUGUAGUGGUGAAAUGCGUAGAGAUCGGCAGGAACACCCAGGGGGGAAACCAGUCGACUGGGCAUCUACUGACGCUGAGGUGCGAGAGCGUGGGGAGCGAACCGG